CGGGAAACUGGGGAUAAUACCGGAUAUAUGGAGAUGCCUGGAAUGGUACUCCACUUAAAGCUCCGGCGCCUAAGGAUGGAUCUGCGGCAGAUUAGGUCGUUGGUGGGGUAAUGGCCCACCAAGCCUAUAAUCUGUACGGGUUGGGAGAGCAAGGGCCCGGAGAUGGAACCUGAGACAAGGUUCCAGGCCCUACGGGGCGCAGCAGGGCCAAAACCCCGCAAUGCCAGGAAUCGCGACCGGGGGACCCCAAGUGCCACUCUUAACGGGGUGGCUUUUCUUAAGUGUAAACAGCUUUUGGAAUAAGGGCUGGGCAAGACCGGUGCCAGCCGCCGCGGUAACA
rnacentral:rRNA from 1 species